rnacentral:sRNA from 1 species
GUCAGCGGGGGAGGGACUGUUGAAGACAGGUCUCCACACACAGCUCCAGCAGCCACAUUUGCAGCCUUGGCCAUCUGUCCAGAACUUGCUCCCACCUCAGGCCCAGGCCAACCGUGAGUACCCUGCCCCACUGGGCUAGUCCCUGGCCUGCCAGCUUCAGGGAGAGGGGUCUUCAGAAGGGCUCCAAGAGGCUGGGGACCAUAGCACUGUGGAGCACUGAGGAUCUGGGAGGAGUCAGUCAGGGUGAGGGCAGUUUGGGAUUUGGGGGAGACAGGGUUUGGAAGGUGGUGAUGAGAGACAAAUGAACUGAAGGUCGGAGAGAGAGCUGGCAGCUCAGCAAAGGAGGAAGCCAGUGGGGAACCCACCAUGAGCUUCCUGACCGCCUGGCCCUCCCACAGGGAGCCCUCAAGUCCCUGCCAAGGCCCCCUCUGUCUCCCAGGUGUUGGGAAGGGCCCCAGCCCUCCCUUGCCUCGCCUCCUGUGGGGUAAGAAGAGAGCAGAUACAACAGCUGUUUCUGCCCCCACCUCUCCUGCCAGCCUUAGUCUCUGCCACCCCUACCCUGCCUUGCCAAGAGCUCAGGUCCCGGGGGAGUCUGGGGGUGGCAGGGCGAAGCUCCCAUGAUAUGGGGAAGCAGAGAUGUAGGGUGCUGUGCCCCUUCCCAACUCGACCUCCACAGGACCUCCCCUUUCUCCUCCUCCCAUUUUUGGCCCAGACCUCUUGACUCCUCUUUCCCCCCACUCUUACCUCUUUGUUUUCCCAUCUCCCCUGCCCCCAAGUCCUCUCAGAACUGCCACCACGUAAAAUCCCAGGCUGCUUUAGGGCUCCAGGUGACCUCCAGCUGCCCCUCUGGCAUGGAGCAGGUAAUCAAGCUACCAGCAUCCCUCCCUCAAGCACCCCUUAUCCCCUCAUCAGCCACGGCUUGGGUUCCAUCUCCCCCAUGUCUCCGUGACAACUGCUUCUCAGGUCCGGAGUUUGGAUGACACUCACAAGGGCCCCAUUGAAGAACUGGGAUGUCAUUCGAUCAGGGGCCAUUGUCCAGCCCCCUAGGCCUGGGGAAGGAUGGGGACAUCUGAUCCGAGACACCUGAGCUGCCCCCCCUGGGGUUGUGGAAGGCCAGACUGUCCCAGGGCCAAGGGAAAGAGGCCCCCCGGCUUGGCAGUCUUCUCUCUCAACAGACCACUCCUUUCUCCUUUCUUCUCCUACUCUCUCCCAGCCCCUUGAACUCAAAGGACCGCAUGCUUUCAGCCCUUUAUCUCCCCCAACACACAGCAGCCCCAUUCCCCUUGCUCCCACUAUCCCCGAAUCAACCAGGAGUGAGCAGUUGCAGGGACAACGCCUGCAGGCCUCCUCUCCCACUCCCCGGGAACUCUGGCUCCAAGGAAAAGGCUCAGACAUUCCUCUCUCCCCUUCUGCCACCCACCAGAUGGAAGGGAUAAUUUUGCAGAGGCAAUGGGAGCAUAUCCCAAAGAAGCCAAAAUGACAUGUUCAGGAGAGAACAGAGUUGAAGGACCAAAAGGGGCCCCCAGCUGCUGACAGGAAACUCAGAGUCAGUGAGACCUCCCUCCCCCAGAAGGCUUAGGCCACCCACUGGGGCUGCCAUCCCCUCUACCAGGCUGACCGAGGGUACCAGACUGACUCCUUGCUAGGGGUGGGCAGCAGAAGGAAGGCUGUAGUGGACACCCCAGCCCACCACCCUCAACAGCAGAGCUUGGCUAUGCUAGACAGGCAAGGUCCAGGGUAAAAAUAGAGCCAGAGGAAGCAUGGCCUAGUCCUGUGACCACCCCUGCCUGCCCCACCCUCCUCAAUCCCUGCCUGGGCAGCCACUGCAGACAUCUACCACAGGCCUCUGGAGCCAGCCCAGCUCCAACUGCUCUCUCUCCAUGCCCCAACCCUGAUUCCCUCUGGCUGGGGUACAGACUGAGGGACACAGAGAACAGGCCUGCACUUAGGUCUCUUGGGGUUUCCCUCACAUUGUAAAAUCUCAGGGAAAGAUCAAUUGCAGUAGGGCUCUAAUCCCACAGCUAUUUGAGCUGUCAGCCAGGGCCAGUCCUGAGGGUUCCCCUCACCUAGACCCCAGGUACUCCGGGCCUGGUCCUCAGCUCACUUCCAUGAUGGGGGUGGGUAGGUGCACUGCUGCAAUGGGCUCUGAGCUGGAGACGGCGAUGGAGACCCUCAUCAACGUGUUCCACGCCCACUCGGGCAAAGAGGGGGACAAGUACAAGCUGAGCAAGAAGGAGCUGAAAGAGCUGCUGCAGACGGAGCUCUCUGGCUUCCUGGAUGCCCAGAAGGAUGUGGAUGCUGUGGACAAGGUGAUGAAGGAGCUAGACGAGAAUGGAGACGGGGAGGUGGACUUCCAGGAGUAUGUGGUGCUUGUGGCUGCUCUCACAGUGGCCUGUAACAAUUUCUUCUGGGAGAACAGUUGAGCAGACAGCCACAUUGGGCAGCGCCCUUCCUCUCCACCCUCCCAGACCUGCCUCUUCCCCCUGCUUCCACCUCACCCCACUUAUCCCUCUCCAUAACCCCACCCCCGCCCACCCCACCCCCACACACCAAGGGCGCAAGAGUAGCGGUCCAAGCCUGCAACUCAUCUUUCAUUAAAGGCUUCUCUCUCACCAGCCA